GUCAACGGCCAUAUCACGUUGAAAGCACCGGUUCCCGUCCGAUCACCGAAGUUAUGCAGCGUCGAGCGCAGUUAGUACUUGGAUGGGAGACCGCUUGGGAACACUGCGUGCUGUUGACU
rnacentral:rRNA from 1 species